UACGGGGGGGGCAAGCGUUGUUCGGAAUUACUGGGCGUAAAGGGCUCGUAGGUGGCCAACUAAGUCACACGUGAAAUCCCUCGGCUUAACCGGGGAACUGCGUGUGAUACUGGAUGGCUUGAGUUUGGGAGAGGGAUGCGGAAUUCCAGGUGUAGCGGUGAAAUGCGUAGAUAUCUGGAGGAACACCGGUGGCGAAGGCGGCAUCCUGGACCAAUUCUGACGCUGAGUGAGCGAAAGCCAGGGGAGCAAACGGG
rnacentral:rRNA from 1 species